rnacentral:rRNA from 1 species
CCUACGGGAGGCAGCAGUAGGGAAUUUUCGGCAAUGGGGGGAACCCUGACCGAGCAACGCCGCGUGAACGAAGAAGUUAUUCGUAAUGUACAGUUCUUUCAACAGGGAAGAAAGAGAAAUUUGACGGUACCUGAAGAAUAAGCUCCGACUAACUCCGUGCCAGCAGCCGCGGUAAUACGGAGGAUGCGAGCGUUAUCCGGAUUCAUUGGGUUUAAAGGGUGCGCAGGCGGAUUUUUAAGUCAGCGGUCAAAUCGUGGGGCUCAACCCCAUCCAGCCGUUGAAACUGGGGAUCUAGAGUGUGCGAGAGGUAUGCGGAAUGCGUGGUGUAGCGGUGAAAUGCAUAGAUAUCACGCAGAACCCCGAUUGCGAAGGCAGCAUACCGGUGCACAACUGACGCUCAGGCACGAAAGCGUGGGUAUCGAACAGGAUUAGAUACCCUAGUAGUC